rnacentral:rRNA from 1 species
AUGGCUCCUACCGAGGCUGAGGAUGAUGUAGAGGAGGGAGAAGAGCAGAAGAAGAAGGAAAGGAAAGCAGCCUGAGCUGCUUUCACGUGGAUUCAAGCAAACUUUGCGCAUUGCCCUGCGGAUGCCACUGAUGAUGUGAUAUAGACACAUGCUCGUGUCUAUAUGUGGUACGUUGUCUUGAGGACUUUGUUUCCUGACUCGACAGGCAAGAAUGCUCCCUGGAUGUGGCUGAAGGCGUUGACCGUCUUCGAUAGCGGAUGGAGCUGUGGUUCAGCGACUCUUGCUUACUUGUACCGACAGGUACUUGGCUUGUUUUGCUAUCAAGUCAUUUCUUCAUUAACAAUGCAACCUUGCUAUCAAGUUAACAUUGUUUUCUUUCAUAUGCAGCUGGACUAUGCGUGUUGCAGGAUCACAGAUAAGGCAGGCAUUGGUGGUAAUAUGCUUCUGCUUUCUGUAUGGAGCUGGGAGCAUCUGCUGAUACAUCUCCAACGUACCUAUAAUUUAUGA